UACAGAGGUCUCAAGCAUUGUUCGGAUUCAUUGGGCGUAAAGGGUGCGUAGGCGGCGCGGUAAGUCGGGUGUGAAAUCUUGGAGCUUAACUCCGAAACUGCAUUCGAUACUCGCCUGUGCUUGAGGACUGGGAGAGGAGACUGGAAUUUACGGUGUAGCGGUGAAAUGCGUAGAUAUCGUAAGGAAGACCAGUGGCGAAGGCGGGUCUCUGGACAGUUCCUGACGCUGAGGCACGAAGGCCAGGGGAGCAAACGGG
rnacentral:rRNA from 1 species